GUCCGCUCUUCAGACGGAUACCACGAAUGCCACGGUGGCCUCCUGAAGACGGAGUCUGGUCUCACAUUCCUCCAGCUUCCUGUGGGGCUCCCCCAAAAAUGCAAAUUCAAUCACAAGGCGCCUGGGCUGAUGUCUCCCCUCCUUGCAUAAACCCCAGCGAAGGGUGAGCGCACGGCAUGGCACCUGCAGCAUGGGGUUCACGUUCUGGAAGGUUCCGGCUGACUCCCACCCCGCCCUUCACUGGCCAAGUAAACUUGCAGAAGUUACUUAACCCUUGACCUAGAAGAGCCUCCUGUCACCUGAAAAGGGAAAGUCGGGAUUGUAAGGAAAGGAAUCUCAUAGGGCUUCUCUGAGGAGACAAGUCAUUGGAUUGGGCUUAGACGUUCCAUCCGUGGCAAGUUUCCGGCUUUGCCCUUUGGAGCCUGAGGAGCAAGGGUAGAAUGAGGAUCGUGAGGUUCUUCAGAGGCAGUUACUCAUGAGGUCACAGCGCAGAAACGGCAAGAAAUCUUUUUCCGUAAGGGAUCUAAAAAAUUAAACAAUUUGUAACUCAAACACACUUGUCAGGUAGCCUGAGUCAAAACCAGGAGAGGCUCCAUGGUCUGGAGUCUCCAGGUGCUCUCCUGGUCAGGACAACUAUGGAUGUGAAGGAUGGGAGAGGGGCCUCCUUCCACAUGAGGUCCCCAAAGACAGGGGUUCAUCCUUCUCCAUCUAGGACUUGAGGGACAUCCUUCUCCAUCCAGGACUGAGAGGCAUCCUUCUCCGUGCAGUACCUGAGGGACAUCCUUCUCCAUUCAGGACCUGAGGACGUCCUUCUCUGUACUCCCUUGGGACUGCACCCUUUCCUGUGCCAUCCUUCAGAAUGCUAGGCUGUCGCUGGUUGGGGAUUGAACUCUAGCAUCUUAUCUCUAUUCUAGGUGAAUCCCUUCACAUUUAUAGUGAUUUACCGUUUAAUCACUGUACCAUUUUCCCCAAAAU
rnacentral:lncRNA from 1 species